rnacentral:rRNA from 1 species
UACGGAGGGUGCAAGCGUUAUCCGGAUUUACUGGGUUUAAAGGGUGUGUAGGCGGGUCAUUAAGUCAGUGGUGAAAUCUCCGAGCUUAACUUGGAAACUGCCAUUGAUACUAUUGAUCUUGAAUUUUGUUGAGGUAGGCGGAAUAGGUCAUGUAGCGGUGAAAUGCAUAGAUAUGACCUAGAACACCGAUUGCGAAGGCAGCUUGCUAAACAAAUAUUGACGCUGAGGCACGAAAGCGUGGGGAUCAAAC